UACGUAGGGAGCGAGCGUUGUCCGAAGUUACUGGGCGUAAAGCGCGCGUAGGCGGGCUGUUAAGUGAGAGGUGAAAGGCUGGGGCUCAACCCCAUGCAGUGCCUCUCAUACUGGCGGUCUUGAGUGCGGCAGGGAGAAGUGGAAUGGCUGGUGUAGCGGUGAAAUGCGUAGAUAUCAGUCGGAACACCGGUGGCGAAGGCGGCUUCUUGGGCCUUUACUGACGCUGAGGCGCGAAAGCUGGGGGAGCGAACGGG
rnacentral:rRNA from 1 species